UAACCCCAUCAUAGAUAUCAACAUGAAGAUCUUUCAGAAACUUCCUACCUUUGUGACUUUUAGAGGUGACCAUCAGAGGAGCAAACCUAAAUAGUUGGAUAAAUCGGGUUGCAUAUUGGACAACCGUCAGAUUUCCUUGGCAAAGGUUUUGAAAUUUCUCCUCCUUCUUCUCUCGGACUUAGGCUAAGAAAAAGUUAUCAAAGAAUAC
rnacentral:lncRNA from 1 species